ensembl:lncRNA
AGGUGCUAACCCUUUAGUUGUUGGGUGGAAUGAGAAGGGAGGAGGGAGUCCUGGGGAGGGGCCGAGGCCGUUGAGGUGGCAUGAAAGGGUGCUCUGGGGACUCAGGUUAGUGGCUCUUUAACAACUGGUGUGGAGUCAUCUCAAUAUUUUAACAUAGGCUGGCUUUCCAGGUGUGUGCAGGGUGAUGAUUAGCUCUACCUGCCACCCAUCACAGAACUCAGAGUUUCACCACUUCCUUCUCCAUUUUCUUUAGCUGUCAGCAUAUAGUUAAUGGGCAACAACACAGCUCUCCAUCCAGUUCUGGGAAAUAAUAAUCAUGGUUAAUAGUUACUGAGAACUGAUGAUUUCAUUUCAUCUUCAUACCAACGCUUGGGGUAGGCACCAUUUUAAAAGCGAUUGGAGACAGGUUAAACAACUUGCCCUCAAUCAAUGGUUGGGAAGUGAAAGAACCAAGCUUCAAACCCAGGUCUGUCUGGGUCUUGAGCCAAGCUCCAAGUCUGUGUCACAUUGCCCAGGACUCGGCUGCCAAUUCUCCCGACCUCCUCGUCCCUCACUGCUGCAUCAGCAAAUCCAGGGCUCAUGGCAGGAAGAGCAGAGAAGAGCAAAGCCUCUUUUCCAUUGCCAUCCAGACAGUUUGAAUAUCACCUUUGAUUUCUUCAAUUUUAAAGACCCAUUUUUGACUAGUAAUGUGGAACGCGAAGGUAGAAAUAACCGAAGGCAUCAGAGGAGAGAGAAGUGGAUGAAAACUCCUCAAGGUCACAUCUAUCCCUCCUUGCCUGGCACAGAGGAGAUGCUUCAUUUGGAUGUGUUGCUGGAGGGGAGAGGUGCAAGCAGUAUGCCAUGGGCACUCAGAGAAAGAGACUAUCUUUAUUCCUGUAAGCUUCAACUAGGGAGCUUCAAUGUUGCGCAAAUGACAGCAGAGAGAGUCAUCAGGUCAAGCCUAUCCAGCAAGAAGCCAAGUGGAGAGUUGAGCAAUUAUCUGAAGUGGGCAGUGAGACGGCCAAAACCAGAUAAUACUUAACCAGAAAGUCAUCGUGGAGGGAAAAAGUGGACUGAAAAUAGAAGGGAUGGGGUAAAAUGUCAAACAAUUUGGUCAGUGUCCACAGUCCAAAUUCACUGGAUAACAGCCAAUUCCUUGCUUCAUGUAAUUAUUUAGAACGAGUCUAAAAGACUGAGGUUUUAAAAAAAGAAGAUGAAUUUGUUACCAAGGUUGUUGCAUGUUUGUGCAAAACUUUUUCAUAUCCGUAGGACUAUCUGUGACAUGUCUAAUUCUGAAUAUUUCCAGGAUAUUUUAGAUUGGUGGGUCAAGUUUGUUGAGGAAGCCCAUAUUAUCUGUAGACUUACAUGGAGAAAAACUUUCUUUUAUGGAUUAUUUGAGUGUUAUAUUUAAUUCGCCUUUCUCCCCCCAUAGCAUAUUGCUUAGGAAUUUUCCAUUGAAAACUCCUGGUUCUCUGUUACUUUAUCAUUUCCUCAUGUGGCAAUUUCAGUAUCCCCUUGAUUUUAGUAGAACCUAUCAAUGAAGUAUAUAAGUCUACUAGAAUGGGAUUUGCAUUACUUUUGGUUAAAAAAAACCCCACCAAAGUCUCAGAUCAAUGUGGUGUUUUUUUCCCUUCUAUUUGGUAUAAAAACCAUAAACUAAUUACUCUGAACAGAUGUUUCCUAGACCUAAAAUAUAGUUAUCAGCCCACUGGCCUCUAUAAAUCCAUCGCUGUAUACCUGGUAAUCCUGAAGACUCCUUAGUGCCAUGUUAAACCUUCCAUUUGUUGAUUUUUUAUUGAGAAAAAGUUCAUAAAUUAGGUUCACUGCUGCUUGGAAUUAAGAAGAAAACACAGCCAUGUUAGUAUUUCAGAUGGGAAAACCAAAGUUAAAAACAAGUAUUUUUUUUCACUCUAUCAUGUCUUGAACAUUUGAAGCCAUUACAUAGCAUCUUAGAAACAACAACAACAAAAUAACCCAGGGCUACAUUUUUCAGUAGCUUUGGCUGAUGUUUGAAAUCCACAGUGAAAAUUGCCCAUGGAAUAUUCUGGAAGGACUCCAAGGGAGUCUAUUGGAAUAUCUUACAAUAAAGUAAAAAUUCAAGAAGAAUUUUACAUGCAAGUAAGGAUUAAGAAAUUUGUUUUAUAAGUCACGGGAUAAAGGUAUGUAUUAAGUGACAUUGCUAAAUUCUUCCC